rnacentral:rRNA from 1 species
CUCGUUGUCUGAGAUCAAGUAGGAUUACCCGCUGAACUUAA